AGAGACGUUGCCCUCGGGGUAUACCUCCCACCCUUUGUUUAUUAUACCUUUGUUGCUUUCGGCGGUGCCCGUCCUGGACCACCGGCUUAUGCUGGUCCAGUGCCCCGCCAGAGGACCUAAAACUCUUGUUUGUUAAUUAUGUAUCGUCUGAGUACUAUAUAAUAGUUA
rnacentral:misc_RNA from 1 species